rnacentral:rRNA from 1 species
UACGGAGGGAGCUAGCGUUAUUCGGAAUUACUGGGCUUAAAGAGUGCGUAGGCGGCCUGGAAAGUAAGGUGUGAAAUCCCACAGCUCAACUGUGGAACUGCGCUUUAAACUUCCCGGCUAGAGGGAUAUAGAGGUGAGCAGAACAGAUGGUGGAGCGGUGAAAUGCGUUGAUAUCAUCUGGAAUACCGGAGGCGAAGGCGGCUCACUGGGGUAUCUUCUGACGCUGAGGUACGAAAGCUAGGGUAGCGAACGGG